rnacentral:lncRNA from 1 species
GUCAUUAGGAUAGCACAUAAGGAAUUCCCUGUCAUUUCAGUAAGUUCUGUCAUGUCCUGAUAGGCUCUGUGUUGCCGGUCAUACUGCCAUGCUAAUGCCAGGGAGGUCGUGGUUGACCGUAGUUUACAGAUCAUGAGGAAUGGGCUAAUUGGACUUGGUAAGAGUUUGUUUUAAAUGAUUUUAAUUUAAUUUAAUGUUUAGGAUAAAGACUAAUGUUCUAGUAAGUUUUUGAGUUUUUAAAAAAUAUUUCGCAUGGUAUUUAUUUAUUUUUGUGUUCAGCAUGUUCCGUCCUCUACUGACAGCUCUCUAAUUCUGUUUGUUGUAUCUUUGAGUGAAUUUAUGUGAAAUGGACUAAAAUAAAAGGGAAAGCAUUGGCACUGAACAGGCAACUUCUGUUUUAUUGAAGUCUCCCUUUUUAUUCUUUCUUCUUGAUAUGAUUGUAACUGCAGUAAAGAAACGUACUCGCCUUUACAUGGGCAACCGGGUAGAGCUUCAACACCCCUGAAAGCACAGGUAGGUGAGAAGGCUGAAGCUCCCGCUCUGAGAAAUGAAUGGCGACGUGCAGCUCCAGGUCCUGAGCACUGAGGCUGGGAGACACGCAGACGUGGAAGUAGGAACCAGAGGGGAGCCCGGGCUGAGCGGUGGGAUGGGACUGCCACAUCGCUCAGAUGCCUUUUCCCAUGGAAACUGCUUUGUGUUCGGUCCAACGAAGCUCCUCCUGCCUGGGCAGCAGGAGGCCAUGGGCCCCUGGCUUACGGCUAUAUCCCCAGCACUUGGAGCUGUGGCUAGCACGUUAGGCACUUGAUACCUACCAGUUGAAUAAAUGAACACAUAUGUCCCCUCUGUCUCGAAGAUACAGCCAAGAAGUAUAAAGGUAUCAACUUUACCUAAAGUUGAUGAUUUGUAUUUCUGGGGACCCACAGACUUGCUACAAUAACUAGCUUAUUAAGCCUCUGACUUUCCCAGGAAUGAAUACCCUCAUCAAAAAAAAAAAAAAUUUAAUACCCUCACAGGUGGUUCUUCAGAGACAAAACUUGUAAACGACAAUAGUAUUACCAAACCUUGUGGGAGCUCAGAGAAGAGAGCAUGAAGUAUGUAUGGAGGAGUUGUUAUUUAACACGAUGUUAAGUCUGAGGAGUUUACUGGAUGAAGAUGAGGAAGGGCAUCAUGGGUAGAGAAAACAAGGUGUUGCAAAGGAAACAGCAUCAGUGAACUUGGCCCUGGGUGGGGGGAGGUGCAAGAAAGGCUGGGGAGGAAAUCAAGCCAGUGGUGUCAGCCUGGGAAGGACCAUGCUAUCACAUGUGAACUUCCUUAAGGUACCAGGAAGGAAGUUGCAGAAGAGUUGUUGGUGGCAAGGGGAUAGAUUCAGAUACUGAGUGAUUUCUGUGUAAUCCCUAAGAGGGCUGGGAAUGUGCCGCUGUCCUGACAGGCAGACGGCCAGUGGACUUCCAUAUCCCAGUUAAUGAGAACCAGUAACGUGGCCACACAAGGAACUUCUGAGCAGCUCAUUUGCCUCCAUAGAAAGUAUGUGACAUAAAAGACAUUAUUUUAAUAAUGUGUGAGGCAAUAUUGGGUGUUGGGGAUAUAAAGAUGACUAAAAUGGAAAGACAAAUAAUUAUGAAUGAAGACAGAGG